UAUCAAAAACAUAGCUUCUAGCCUAACAAGUAUUAGAAGUAACGCCUGCCCUGUGGAACCCUAAACGGCCGCGGCACUAAAACCGUGCAAAGGUAGCACAAUCACUUGUCCCUUAAAUGAGGACCCGUAUGAAAGGCAACAUGAGAGAGAACCUGUCUCCCAAGACCAGCCAAUGAACUUGAACCACCAGUACAAAAGCUGAUAUUUAUAAGCAAGACAAAAAGACCCUGUGGAACUUUAACGAACUGUUUACACAAAUUAGACAAUAGUUUCAGUUGGGACAACUUUAGAAAAAUUUAACCUCUAAAAUACUAACAGACCAACAAGUCCAAAUUCCACCUAUGACCCAGUUUACUGAUUAACGAAAUAAGUUACCCCAGGGAUAACAGCGCCACCUUCUCAAAGAGUCCAUAUCAACAAGAAGAUCUACGACCUCGAUGUUGGAUCAGGGUACCCAGACGGUGCAGCAGCUGUCAAAGGUUCGUUUGUUCAACGACUAACACCCCACGUGAUCUGAGUU
rnacentral:rRNA from 1 species